AAUAGAUACCCUGGUAGUCCACGCCGUAAACGAUGUCGACUUGGAGGUUGUUCCCUUGAGGAGUGGCUUCCGGAGCUAACGCGUUAAGUCGACCGCCUGGGGAGUACGGCCGCAAGGUUAAAACUCAAAUGAAUUGACGGGGGCCCGCACAAGCGGUGGAGCAUGUGGUUUAAUUCGAUGCAACGCGAAGAACCUUACCUACUCUUGACAUCCACGGAACUUUUCAGAGAUGAAUUGGUGCCUUCGGGAACCGUGAGACAGGUGCUGCAUGGCUGUCGUCAGCUCGUGUUGUGAAAUGUUGGGUUAAGUCCCGCAACGAGCGCAACCCUUAUCCUUUGUUGCCAGCGGUCCGGCCGGGAACUCAAAGGAGACUGCCAGUGAUAAACUGGAGGAAGUGGGGAUGACGUCAAGUCAUCAUGGCCCUUACGAGUAGGGCUACACACGUGCUACAAUGGCGCAUACAAAGAGAAGCGACCUCGCGAGAGCAAGCGGACCUCAUAAAGUGCGUCGUAGUCCGGAUUGGAGU
rnacentral:rRNA from 1 species